rnacentral:rRNA from 1 species
GACGAACCGUGCGAACGUUGUUCGGAAUCACUGGGCUUAAAGGGCGCGUAGGCGGGCAUUCAAGUCGGUGGUGAAAGCCUCCCGCUUAACGGGAGAAGAGCUGUCGAUACUGGAUGUCUCGAGGGGUGUAGGGGUCUGUGGAACUUUGGGUGGAGCGGUGAAAUGCGUAGAGAUCCAAAGGAACGCCGGUGGCGAAAGCGACGGACUGGACACCUUCUGACGCUGAGGCGCGAAAGCCAGGGGAGCAAACGGG